CUACGGGUCGCUCCAGUGGGGAAUAUUGGACAAUGGGGGAAACCCUGAUCCAGCAAUGCCGCGUGUGUGAAGAAGGCCUGCGGGUUGUAAAGCACUUUCGGUUGGGAGGACUGCUUCUAGCACUAAUAUUGUUGGAAGUUGACGUUACCUUCAGAAGAAGCACCGGCUAACUCCGUGCCAGCAGCCGCGGUAAUACGGGGGGUGCAAGCGUUAAUCGGAAUUACUGGGCGUAAAGCGGCGCGUAGGCGGCGAGAUCAGUCGGGUGUGAAAGCCCCGGGCUUAACCUGGGAACUGCAUCCGAUACUGUCUAGCUUGAGUACAGGAGAGGAGAGUGGAAUUCCACAUGUAGCGGUGAAAUGCGUAGAUAUGUGGAGGAACACCAAUGGCGAAGGCAGCUCUCUGGCCUGAUACUGACGCUGAGGUGCGAAAGCGUGGGGAGCAAACAGGAUUAGAUACCCGAGUAGUC
rnacentral:rRNA from 1 species